rnacentral:rRNA from 1 species
UAGGGAAUUUUCCACAAUGGACGGAAGUCUGAUGGAGCAACGCCGCGUGUGCGAAGAAGGUUUUCGGAUUGUAAAGCACUGUUGUAUGGGAAGAAUAAGUACUAUAGGAAAUGAUAGUAUGAUGACGGUACCAUACGAGGAAGUCACGGCUAACUACGUGCCAGCAGCCGCGGUAAUACGUAGGUGGCAAGCGUUGUCCGGAAUUAUUGGGCGUAAAGGGCGUGUAGGCGGUAGUAAAAGUCUGAUGUGAAAGUUUGCAGCUUAACUGUAACAGUGCAUUGGAAACUAUACAACUAGAGUGUCGGAGAGGAAAGCGGAAUUCCAUGUGUAGCGGUGAAAUGCGUAGAUAUAUGGAGGAACACCAGUGGCGAAGGCGGCUUUCUGGACGAUGACUGACGCUGAGGCGCGAAAGCGUGGGGAGCAAACA